rnacentral:rRNA from 1 species
GUGAACGCUGGCGGUAGGCCUAACACAUGCAAGUCGAACGGCAGCACCGUAAGAGCUUGCUCUUACGGGUGGCGAGUGGCGGACGGGUGAGGAAUACAUCGGCAUCUACUUUUUCGUGGGGGAUCACGUAGGGAAACUUACUCUAAUACCGCAUACGACCUACGGGUGAAAGCAGGGGAUCUUCGGACCUUGCGCGAUUGAAUGAGCCGAUGUCGGAUUAGCUAGUUGGCGGGGUAAAGGCCCACCAAGGCGACGAUCCGUAGCUGGUCUGAGAGGAUGAUCAGCCACACUGGAACUGAGACACGGUCCAGACUCCUACGGGAGGCAGCAGUGGGGAAUAUUGGACAAUGGGCGAAAGCCUGAUCCAGCCAUACCGCGUGGGUGAAGAAGGCCUUCGGGUUGUAAAGCCCUUUUGUUGGGAAAGAAAAGCAGCAGGUUAAUACCCCGCUGUUCUGACGGUACCCAAAGAAUAAGCACCGGCUAACUUCGUG